rnacentral:sRNA from 1 species
GAUAUCAGGGUCAAAAGGUCCAAAGCCGUUCGUGCCUGCAUGAUAAGUUUUGAUCCCUCGACCCGCCGAACAUGAGAAAGUAGCGAUUUACGCAGUAAAUCUGCGGACUCUGAAUGUUCGAAAAUUGCGGGAGCAGAUUUGCUGCGGAGCAAUCCGUAGAUAUC